rnacentral:tRNA from 6 species
GCGGUGGUGGCGGAAUUGGUAGACGCGCUAGCUUCAGGUGCUAGUGCCCGCAAGGGCGUGAGAGUUCAAGUCUCUCCCUCCGCACCA